rnacentral:rRNA from 1 species
GGGCCCGCACAAGCGGUGGAGUAUGUGGUUUAAUUCGAAGAUACGCGCAGAACCUUACCAACACUUGACAUGUUCGUCGCGACUCUAAGAGAUUAGAGUUUUCGGUUCGGCCGGACGAAACACAGGUGCUGCAUGGCUGUCGUCAGCUCGUGUCGUGAGAUGUUGGGUUAAGUCCCGCAACGAGCGCAACCCUCACUUUUAGUUGCCAUCAUUUAGUUGGGCACUCUGAAAGAACUGCCAGUGAUAAGCUGGAGGAAGGUGGGGAUGACGUCAAGUCCUCAUGGCCCUUACGUGUUGGGCUACACACGUGCUACAAUGGUAUCUACAACAGGAAGCAAAACCGCGAGGUUAAGCAAAUCCCUAAAGAUACCUCAGUUCGGAUUGCACUCUGCAACUCGAGUGCAUGAAGCUGGAAUUACUAGUAAUCG